UUUGCUCAGAUUGAACGCUGGCGGCACGCUACACAUGCAAGUCGAGCGGUAACAGAGCUAGUAGCAAUACUAGCUGCUGACGAGCGGCGGACGGGUGAGAACACGUAGGAACCUGCCUCAAGCGGGGGACAACCAAGGGAAACUUUGGCUAAUACCGCAUAAUCUCGAGAGAGAAAAGCUGCCGCAAGGUGGCACUUGAGGAGGGGCCUGCGUCCGAUUAGUUAGUUGGUGAGGUAAAGGCUCACCAAGACGAUGAUCGGUAACUGGUCUGAGAGGACGACCAGUCACACUGGGANUGAGACACGGCCCAGACUCCUACGGGAGGCAGCAGUGGGGAAUAUUGGACAAUGGGGGCAACCCUGAUCCAGCGAUGCCGCGUGAGUGAAGAAGGCCUUCGGGUCGUAAAGCUCUUUAGGUUGGGAAGAAGGUAUUGGGGGGAUAAUCCUCGAUACUUGACGGUACCGACAGAAUAAGCACCGGCAAACUCUGUGCCAGCAGCCGCGGUAAUACAGAGGGUGCGAGCGUUAAUCGGAGUUACUGGGCGUAAAGGGCGCGUAGGCGGUAAGAUGUGUGUGAUGUGAAAGCCCCGGGCUUAACCUGGGAAGUGCAUCGCAAACUAUCUAACUGGAGUAUAUGAGAGGGUGGCGGAAUUUCCGGUGUAGCGGUGAAAUGCGUAGAGAUCGGAAGGAACGUCAAUGGCGAAGGCAGCCACCUGGCAUAAUACUGACGCUGAGGCGCGAAAGCGUGGGGAGCGAACAGGAUUAGAUACCCUGGUAGUCCACGCUGUAAACGAUGAGGACUAAAGGUUGGUAGGGGAACCUAUCAGUCUUGAAGCUAACGCGAUAAGUCUUCCGCCUGGGAAGUACGGCCGCAAGGUUGAAACUCAAAUGAAUUGACGGGGGCCCGCACAAGCGGUGGAGCAUGUGGUUUAAUUCGAUGCAACGCGAAGAACCUUACCUACCCUUGACAUC
rnacentral:rRNA from 1 species